UCUCCCCUCAGCUGUGGAAAGUGAAGAAGGCAUUGAAGAUGACUAUUCUUUGGAGAGGCCUGAUGCCCGAAUUUCAGUUUGGCACUUACAGCGAAUCUGAGAGGAAAACCGAGGAGUACGAUACUCAGGCCAUGAAGUACUUGUCAUACCUGCUGUACCCUCUCUGUGUCGGGGGUGCUGUCUAUUCACUCCUGAAUAUCAAAUAUAAGAGCUGGUACUCCUGGUUAAUCAACAGCUUCGUCAACGGGGUCUAUGCCUUUGGUUUCCUCUUCAUGCUGCCCCAGCUCUUUGUGAACUACAAGUUGAAGUCAGUGGCACAUCUGCCCUGGAAGGCCUUCACCUACAAGGCUUUCAACACCUUCAUUGAUGACGUCUUUGCCUUCAUCAUCACCAUGCCCACGUCUCACCGGCUGGCCUGCUUCCGGGACGACGUGGUGUUUCUGGUCUACCUGUACCAGCGGUGGCUUUAUCCUGUGGAUAAACGCAGAGUGAACGAGUUUGGGGAGUCCUACGAGGAGAAGGCCACGCGGGCGCCCCACACGGACUGAAGGCCGCCCGGGCUGCCGCCAGCCAAGUGCAACUUGAAUUGUCAAUGAGUAUUUUUGGAAGCAUUUGGAGGAACUCCUAGACAUUGCGUUUUCUGUGUUGCCAAAAUCCCUUCGGACAUUUCUCAGACAUCUCCCAAGUUCCCAUCACGUCAGAUUUGGAGCUGGUAGCGCUUACGAUGCCCCCACGUGUGAAC
rnacentral:sRNA from 1 species